AAUGAACGUUGGCGGCGUGGAUUAGGCAUGCAAGUCGAGCGGAAAGGCCCCGCAAGGGGUACUCGAGCGGCGUAAGGGAGAGUAACGCGUGGGCUACUUGCCCUCAGGACUGGGAUAGCCACGGGAAACUGUGGGUAAUACCGGAUAACGUCUCCGGACCAAAGGUGUGAUUCCGCCUGAGGAGAGGCCCGCGUCCUAUUAGCUAGUUGGUGAGGUAACGGCCCACCAAGGCAAUGAUGGGUACGGGUGUGAGAGCAUGACCCCGCUCACUGGGACUGAGACACUGCCCAGACACCUACGGGUGGCAG
rnacentral:rRNA from 1 species